GUGGAUACAGAGAGGGAAAAGGAGGGGAUUAACAGUGUGCUGUGGUGGUUCUAUGGUGGGGGAGGGGUUUACGCUCCUCAGCCCUGCAGCAGGAGGCAGUGAAUGACAAGGACCCCAAGGAUUGAGGAGAGGGAGUGCGCUAUCUGGGGACCCUACAUUACCAUCACAGAGGCUGUCUGAGGACCCCACAUUACCACCACAGAGGCUGAGGACCCCACAUUACCAACACAGAGGCUGUCUGAGGACCCCACAUUACCACCACAGAGGCUGAGGACCCCACAUUACCAACACAGAGGCUGAGGACCCCACAUUACCACCACAGAGGCUGAGGACCCCACCUUACCACCACAGUGGCUGUCUGAGGACCCCACAUUACCACCACAGAGGCUGAGGACCCCACAUUACCACCACAGAGGCUGAGGACCCCACAUUACCAACACAGAGGCUGAGGACCCUACAUUACCACCACAGAGGCUGUCUGAGGACCCCACAUUACCACCACAGAGGCUGUCUGAGGACCCCACAUUACCACCAGAGGCUGGGAACCCUACAUUACCACCACAGAGGCUGAGGACCCUACAUUACCACCACAGAGGCUGUCUGAGGAGCCCACAUUACCACCACAGAGGCUGAGGACCCCACAUUACCACCACAGAGGCUGUCUGAGGACCCCACAUUACCACCACAGAGGCUGAGGACCUGAGGACUCUGUUGCUACCUCAAUGAAAUAUUGCUGGAAUUCUGGGACAUCUUUGUGUUCAUUUUGCCGAGUCAGCCAUUGUGUUCAACGGCUGGAAGGAGCAAAUCCCAGACUACAUUCCAGAUUCCCUCUGAUAAUGAUAUACAUUGUAAAUUAGUUUUCUUCUAGGAAUACUAAAUUGUUUUCAUUUACCAUGAUCUGUUACUGACCACAGUGACCAAAUAAGUCAUUAUCAACCAUAACAAAAUUCAGAAAUAAAAUUCCAGGAUAAAUCUUUUUUAGCACUUUAUUUUAUAGGAUUUAAAAUACUGUGUGCUGAUUGCAACUGGUAGAAUUUACAUGACCAUUUCUUUUCACUUCUUGUUCUUCUUGCUUCUGUUUUUCUCCUUUUCUCUUUUAAAACUCCUCAGUUUUCCAAGCUGUUCCCUUAUAAUUAUUGCAGAAACAUGCUUUUUAUUGAUGUGUAGUUUUCAUGUUGUUACCCAGUUGUUUCCUUUUUGUUUCUAUGUUGUUUCCAGGAGAUGACCUAGUUAUUUCCAUCCUGCAAAAUAAAGUGCAACCGAGAACCCAGGAAGGAUAUGCUUUUAUACAUUAAAAUGUCAAACUCUGCACAUUAAUGUUAACAUUUUAAACUUGGCAUAUGAAUAGUAAAAUGACAC
ensembl:lncRNA